AGAGUUUGAUCAUGGCUCAGAAUCAACGCUGGCGGCGUGCCUCAGACAUGCAAGUCGAACGAUUAAAGCCCUCUUCGGAGGGUGUAUAAAGUGGCGCACGGGUGAGUAACACGUAAGUAAUCUACCCUCGGGUGGGGAAUAACAACCGGAAACGGUUGCUAAUACCGCAUAAUGCAGCGGCUCCUUAUGGAGACAGUUGUUAAAGGAUUUAUUCGCCUGAGGAGGAGCUUGCGGCAAAUUAGCUAGUUGGUAAGGUAAUGGCUUACCAAGGCUACGAUCUGUAGCCGGUCUAAGAGGACGGUCGGUCACACUGACACUGAAUAACGGGUCAGACUCCUACGGGAGGCAGCAGUCGGGAAUUUUGGGCAAUGGGCGAAAGCCUGACCCAGCAACGCCGCGUGAAGGAUGAAGUAUUUCGGUAUGUAAACUUCGAAAGAAUAGGAAGAAUUAAUGACGGUACUAUUUAUAAGGUCCGGCUAACUACGUGCCAGCAGCCGCGGUAAUACGUAGGGACCAAGCGUUGUUCGGAUUUACUGGGCGUAAAGGGCGCGUAGGCGGCAUGACAAGUCACUUGUGAAAUCUCUGGGCUUAACUCAGAACGGCCAAGUGAUACUGUCGCGCUAGAGUGCAGAAAGGGCAAUCGGAAUUCUUGGUGUAGCGGUGGAAUGCGUAGAUAUCAAGAGGAACACCUGAGGCGAAAGGCGGGUUGCUAGGCUGACACUGACGCUGAGGCGCGAAAGCCA
rnacentral:rRNA from 1 species